UGGGGUGGAUGAGUGGCGAACGGGUGAGUAACACGUGAGUAACCUGCCCCUGACUUCGGGAUAAGCCCGGGAAACUGGGUCUAAUACCGGAUACGACCUGCUCUCGCAUGAGAGUGGGUGGAAAGUUUUUUCGGUUGGGGAUGGGCUCGCGGCCUAUCAGUUUGUUGGUGAGGUAAUGGCUCACCAAGACGACAACGGGUAGCCGGCCUGAGAGGGCGACCGGCCACACUGGGACUGAGACACGGCCCAGACUCCUACGGGAGGCAGCAGUGGGGAAUAUUGCACAAUGGGGGAAACCCUGAUGCAGCGACGCACCGUGCGGGAUGACGGCCUUCGGGUUGUAAACCGCUUUCAGCAGGGAAGAAGCGAGAGUGACGGUACCUGCAGAAGAAGUACCGGCUAACUACGUGCCAGCAGCCGCGGUAAUACGUAGGGUACGAGCGUUGUCCGGAAUUAUUGGGCGUAAAGAGCUCGUAGGUGGUUGGUCACGUCUGCUGUGGAAACGCAACGCUUAACGUUGCGCGUGCAGUGGGUACGGGCUGACUAGAGUGCAGUAGGGGAGUCUGGAAUUCCUGGUGUAGCGGUGAAAUGCGCAGAUAUC
rnacentral:rRNA from 1 species